GGUUUUAUGAUGUAGUGGUUAGCAUACCAGAUUUUGAUUCUGGUUACCCCGGUUCGAAUCCGGGUAAGACCU
rnacentral:tRNA from 1 species